GGCCACCGAACCCGAACCGAACCCUCCCUGUGGCUCCUCCUUCGUCCGCCCCUGAUGGCGUUCGAGAUCCCAUCGGCUCUCAUCCGCGAAAUCCAGGCCGGCCUCCGGCGAGAGGCCGGCGUCCCGUUCUACGACCCCGACGAUCCGUCCCUUCCCUCGCUACCCUCCGUCGAGGACGCCGUCGCCGCGCUUGACCCGGACCUCCGUCCAUCCCUUCGCUGCGACCGGUGCCGCGGCGGCCUCCUUCGGGGCCUUCGGUCCACGAUAUGCAUCUAUUGCGGUGCGGAUCGGGGGAAGGAAGGGAACUCCCACUCGAUUUCCUUCAAUUCCACCGUCGCCUGCCGGAAGCUUCUUGACUAUCUUGGGCUGGAUGGAUCCGAAGCUGUUUUACUUGACAUAGAACCAAGUGGUUCCACCUCAAAUAAGGGCCAGGCCACACCAAAGGGUGAGUUGGUUUUGUCUGAUCUUUUAGACUUGGUAUUAAGAUGGCCUUCAGAUAAGGAGGAUGUUGAACAUAACUCUACGGUCACUAUGCCUUCUCCUGAUACAUAUGCUUUGAGCUUGACUGGACUUGACCUUGAUAACUUUUUUUCUGAAAAAAGGAGGGAGGCAACUUCUUUUGUUGCUCCACAAUCUGACGGAAAAAAGAUGCUGAGGGGGAAUACAGAUACAAAAAGUCAUGCAUUUUCUGGUUCAGAAAACUUUGCUGCAUUUGAGAAUCUGCAGACUACUGACAACAAAACAAACUCCCUUGGCAAUGAUUUUGGUGAUUCAUUUGCUGUCUGGGAUACUGAUUUUCAAUCUGCUGGUACAAAAUCUAAAGAAGUUAGUCCCAAAUCAUUUGACCAUUUUCAAGAUUUUUCAGGUCACGAUCUUGCUCAUGCUUCAAAGACUGGAGCCACUAUAGACCAGCUCGAAAGCAUAGAGAUGUUUGAUAAAUCUGAGCCACCAUCUGUUAAUGAACAGUUCCAAGAUGAUCUUUGGCCCAUAGAAAAUGUGAAUAUGUAUGCUUCAGAUCCACUUAAACAUGAAAUUCACAAUGUCACGGAGAAUAGUGUCUCAAACAACGUGUCUAGCAUAGGCAUAGAUGACUUUUCUGUUCAGGAGAAUCUAUGGCCUACAAGCAGCACCAAGGAAUCUGAGACUUCUAUUCCCACUAAUAGUAAUGAGGACUCUUUUGAUGCUUGGCAAGGUUUUACCAACUCCAUUGAAGCAAGGGGAAGUUCAUCAAGUCCAGCAACUGCAGCUGGAACUGGGCUAACCUGGCCUAGUCAUUCUUCUGAAACAAAGGCAGCAAAUAUCUUCCCUGCAAGUAGUGAAAAAGAAUUGUACAACAAUAAAUCCAUAGAUAGUAACGAUAACUGUAAUGAUGAUUGGCAAGAUUUUGCUGGCUUUGAAGGAAAGGGAAGCUCAACAAGUCUUGGGACACAAUCUGGUAAGGCAAUCUUUGAGCACCCUGGGGAAGUAAAAUCAGUUGAUCCAUUGGAUACAAGCUCAAAAAUGGAAUCUGACAGUUUCACAACUAUGAAUAUCAUACAUGAUUCUUCUGAUGCUUGGCCAGAUUUUACUGGUUCUAGUGAAGCACUGGGAAAUUCUUUUAAUCAAAGCAGUCAAAAUGGGGUUAACUCACAUAACAAUUCUUCAGAAACCGUAGCAGUGGAUCCCUGGUCUACAGGGAACUCAAAGGAUUUGGACAAAAAUAUGCCUUUAAAUAAUUAUGAUGACUCUUUUAAUGAUUGGCAAGAUUUUACUGGCUUUGCUGAAGCACCAAAAAGAUCACCGAAUUUGGGGGCUCCAUCUGGUCCCACAUUGUUGGAGCAACCUUCAGAAACAAAGUCAGUGGACUUAUUGUCUACAAAAGGAAAAACAGAAUCGACAAAUGAGCAUGAUGAUUCAUUUGAUGAUUGGAAAGAUUUUUCCAGCUCCAUAGAAGUGAAAGGAAGUUCAUCAAGUUCUGGAGAACAAUAUAAGGCCUCUUUAUUUGGGUAUUCUUCAACAACAGAUUCAACACAACAGCAGAAUAUGAAAUUUGGUAGUGACCUACAGACAGAUAUCUUUUUAAAUCAACUGGAAGGCCAGAAAAGUUAUCCUGAUGGAGAGGACAUUCAAAUAGAUGUGUUGACUUCUGACAGCAGGGUGAAUGGAAUGGAUCAGAAAACUGCUGCAGAUCCUCAUUCUAUGAUGUGGGAGACGAAAGGAACUAUCGAGAGUUCUAAUGCUAAUUCAAUUUUAGAACCUGCAAAAUCCGAUGUAGAGAAGUCAUCGAGUCACAUUCCUGAUCUCUCCUUCAUGCUUGUAGAUGAACUUUCCAUCCCAGAGAAGUCUGUUACAACCGAACCAAGUCUCUGACAACAAGCUGAGUUAUUCUUUUAUUUGGCACAUUAAGAUUAAUCGGGGUACACUAUCCUUCUUUUCUAGCUAAGUGAACAAUAUUAGGGAGGUACUUUUCAUGGUAAUGACCAGUGGAUUACUGGUAUAUGGUAAUCACAGCCCAGUUCGGUGUCGGAGCCGGAGCUGACAGGUAUUGAUUGCCUCCUGUGAGUGGUAAGCUUCUAAGUCUUCAUAUGACUGCAUGGGUGCUAGUGUGAGGAAGAUGCCAUUUUAUAUUGCAGGAGAGAUGGUUUUCUUCAAUGUAUCAUCGACCAAUGCCGGUGUCUGUCUUGUUGCAGUUGCAGCAACAUCCUCUACAGCCGGUGCUUUAUUUCUAAAUUCAUUUGUGUGUGUGUUUUUCCUGUACUUAUCUGUUUCUUUGAGCUCACUCUUGAGAAUUCAACGAUUAUAUAGUUGAUCAUGAGUGUUAUAAUGUUAUUUUGUUAAUGCGGAACUCCUCUGCUGAUGAACUUUUCUUGUUUUCA